UACGUAGGGGGCAAGCGUUAUCCGGAAUUACUGGGCGUAAAGCGCACGCAGGCGGUUCGCCAAGUUUGGAGUGACAGUUGUCGGCUCAACCGACAAAGGACUUCAAAAACUGGUGAACUUGAGGACGAGAGAGGAACAUGGAACUCCAGGUGUAGUAGUGAAAUGCGUAGAUAUCUGGAAGAACACCAAUGGCGAAGGCAAUGUUCUGGUUCGUUUCUGACGCUCAGGUGCGAAAGCCAGGGGAGCGAACGGG
rnacentral:rRNA from 1 species